rfam:Candidatus Thrbacteria bacterium RIFOXYB2_FTLL_45_11 rifoxyb2_full_scaffold_4175, whole genome shotgun sequence.
GCCGACAUGGCGGAACUGGUAUACGCGCACGACUCAAAAUCGUGUGGGGAAACUCAUGUGGGUUCAAGUCCCACUGUCGGCA